ACUCAAAUGAAUAGACGGGGGCCCGCACAAGCGGUGGAGCAUGUGGCUUAAUUCGAGGCAACGCGAAGAACCUUACCUGGUCUUGAAAUAUAUCGGAUCGCCUGUGAAAGCAGGUUUCCCUUCGGGGCUGAUAUACAGGUGCUGCAUGGCUGUCGUCAGCUCGUGCCGUGAGGUGUUCGGUUAAGUCCGGCAACGAGCGCAACCCGUAUCGUCAGUUGCCAGCAGGUAAAGCUGGGGACUCUGGCGAGACUGCCUGUGUUAAGCAGGAGGAAGGCGCGGAUGACGUCAAGUCAGUAUGGCCCUUACGACCAGGGCUGCACACGUGCUACAAUGGGGGGUACAAUGGGAUGCGAUGUCGCGAGGCGGAGCAAAUCCACAAAACCUCUCUUAGUUCAGAUUGCAGUCUGCAACUCGACUGCAUGAAGUUGGAAUCGCUAGUAAAGGCGUAUCAGCUACGACGCCUUGAAUACGUUCCCGGGCCUUGUACACACCGCCCGU
rnacentral:rRNA from 1 species